AUUUAGUUUAUUAAUUUAGUUUAUAUUUAAUAUUUUUUGGAAUUAGAAUUUUCAUUUUUAUUAUUCUUUUUAGAAAAAAUUUGUUAUUUUUAUAGAUUAUUUGUACUGUGAAGGAAUUAAAUAGAAUUUUUAUAAGAUUAAUUUAUUUUUAGUACCUUGUGUAUCAGGGUUAAUUAAAUUUAAUUUAACUAUUUUAAUUUUCUCGAUUUUAGAAGAGCUAUUUUCUGAUAUUUUUUAUUGUUAAAUAAAUAUUAUUAAUCAGGAGAUAGAAAUGAAAUGUUAUUCGUUUCUAAAUAUAUCUAGUUUUCUAAGAAAAAAAUUUAAUUUUUUUAUUAUUAAUAAACAUAUUUUUUAUUUAUUAUUUUUGUUUUAAUAAGUUAUUUAUUUAGGGAUGAGCUUGGGUAAAUAAAAUUAAAACUUUAAAGAUUUUCUUAUUUAAUUAGGAUUAUAAGUUUCCAUAUUUAGAAGGAUGUUAUAUUUGAUUUAGAAUAUUUUAUAAUUUUUAUUUUGUUUAGUUAGUUAUUAGAAUAAAUAAUUUAAUUUUAAUUUUUUUGGAAUAAUGAUUAAAUUAGUAUAUUGUUUGAUUGUAAGUUUUUAGGUUAGAAAAAGGAAUUCGGCAAAAAAGUUUUCACCUGUUUAUUAAAAACAUGGCCUUUUGAGUAUAAUUUAAGGUCUAACCUGCCCAAUGAGCUUUUAAAUGGCCGCGGUAUUUUGACCGUGCAAAGGUAGCAUAGUAAUUAGUUUUUUAAUUGAAAGCUGGAAUGAAUGGUUGAAUGAAAAAUUAGCUGUCUCUUUUUAAUUUUAUAGAAUUUUAUUUUUUAGUUAGAAAGCUGAAAUUUAAUUUAAAGACGAGAAGACCCUAUAGAGUUUAAUAUUAUUAAUGUUUAUAUUUUGUUAGAAUUUUAAGUUUAAGCGUGAUAUAGUAUUUUGUUGGGGCGAUGAAAAAAUUGAUUUAACUUUUUUUGUUUAGAAACAUUAAUUUAUGAUAGUUUGAUCCAUUGUUUAUGAUUAUAAGAAUAAAUUACCUUAGGGAUAACAGCGUAAUCUUUCUAGAGAGUUCAAAUUGAAAGAAAGGGUUGCGACCUCGAUGUUGGAUUAAAAUUAAAUUUUGGUGCAGAAGCUGAAAAUUUAGGUCUGUUCGACCUUUGAAAUUUUACAUGAUCUGAGUUUAAACCGGCGUGAGCCAGGUUGGUUUCUAUCUUGAAUUUGUUAUAGUAUUUUAGUACGAAAGGACCAAAUAUUAAAUAAUUUAUUUUAAUUUGAGUAUUAUU
rnacentral:rRNA from 1 species